CCAGUGAUCAGUGCCAAAGCCCCAUUGCCUGUGGAGAGGGUGAUGUUUGAUUUCCCUGUCCAGCUGCAGUUCAUGUGGUGAAGGUGCUCCCACAAUGUGGUUGGGUGGACAUUCAGAUGGUAAUCUCAGUAAUUGUAACGCCAAACUGUGACAAAAUUACUCAAUUCAUCAGGAGCUGGAUAUUCACAUUGUGUGGAUCUGCACUGGAACCCUUCUGUUUGCGGGACAAAUAUAUAUAAGUGACAUGGAUUAAAAUCUAAUUUGCUUUGAUGGAGAUGUGUUGAAAAUGUUUGCAGUUACUGAUCUGCUGAACCAAAAUGACCCCUUUUAAACUGAUGAUUGGACUAGAAACCUUUUAGAAAACUUGAAAAUAUUCGGUAAGGUCAACACAACCAUGAACCAAGCAAUGAUUCCUCAUCCAACACUCACAGGAAAUAUCUGAUGCCUUCUCAUUUGAAUGUUCAGAGAAAUCAUUGGAUUAAUAUU